GAAAUUUGGAAAACUGUUAUAUCUAACAAUAUAACCACAUAUUUAUUAGUUGUAUUUUGUUUUGUGUUGUUAGAACAGUUGUAUUUUGUUUUAUAACAGUUUCGUAAUAAGAGUUCAGUUGCUGUAAAAUGGCUUUUCGUAACCGGACAAAUCUCAUAAUGAUGAAUGCCAGCCUUAGUACUUCAAAUGAGGGUAUUAGUGAAAACAAUUUAAAUAAUAAUAACAUGCCUACAGAGAGUAUUGCUGAGAUAGUUGAACCCAUUAACCAAAAUGAGGAUUUAGAAUCUGCUCUUAGUGAGGAGGUGAAUUAUAACAUUACAGAUUACUUGACAGGAGAAGUUCUAGAAAAGGACACUAAUAAAGAGAAUCAA